AGUGAACGCUGGCGGCAGGCCUAACACAUGCAAGUCGAGCGGCAGCGGGUCCCCGCGAGGGGAUGCCGGCGAGCGGCGGACGGGUGAGGAACACAUCGGAAUCUGCCUGGUUGUGGGGGAUAACGUAGGGAAACUUACGCUAAUACCGCAUGAGACCCUGAGUCGACGGACUGGGGUGAAAGUGAGGGACCUUCGGGCCUCACGCGACCAGAUGAGCCGAUGUCGGAUUAGCUAGUUGGCGGGGUAACGGCCCGCCAAGGCGACGAUCCGUAGCUGGUCGUGAGAGGAUGAUCAGCCACACUGGGACUGAGACGACGGCCCAGACUCCUACGGGAGGCAGCAGUGGGAAUCUUGGACAA
rnacentral:rRNA from 1 species